rnacentral:rRNA from 1 species
CACACUAUCAUUAACUGAAUCCAUAGGUUAAUGAGGCGAACCGGGGGAACUGAAACAUCUAAGUACCCCGAGGAAAAGAAAUCAACCGAGAUUCCCCCAGUAGCGGCGAGCGAACGGGGAGCAGCCCAGAGCCUGAAUCAGUGUGUGUGUUAGUGGAAGCGUCUGGAAAGGCGCGCGAUACAGGGUGACAGCCCCGUACACAAAAAUGCACAUGCUGUGAGCUCGAUGAGUAGGGCGGGACACGUGGUAUCCUGUCUGAAUAUGGGGGGACCAUCCUCCAAGGCUAAAUACUCCUGACUGACCGAUAGUGAACCAGUACCGUGAGGGAAAGGCGAAAAGAACCCCGGCGAGGGGAGUGAAAAAGAACCUGAAACCGUGUACGUACAAGCAGUGGGAGCACGCUUAGGCGUGUGACUGCGUACCUUUUGUAUAAUGGGUCAGCGACUUAUAUUCUGUAGCAAGGUUAACCGAAUAGGGGAGCCGAAGGGAAACCGAGUCUUAACUGGGCGUUAAGUUGCAGGGUAUAGACCCGAAACCCGGUGAUCUAGCCAUGGGCAGGUUGAAGGUUGGGUAACACUAACUGGAGGACCGAACCGACUAAUGUUGAAAAAUUAGCGGAUGACUUGUGGCUGGGGGUGAAAGGCCAAUCAAACCGGGAGAUAGCUGGUUCUCCCCGAAAGCUAUUUAGGUAGCGCCUCGUGAAUUCAUCUCCGGGGGUAGAGCACUGUUUCGGCAAGGGGGUCAUCCCGACUUACCAACCCGAUGCAAACUGCGAAUACCGGAGAAUGUUAUCACGGGAGACACACGGCGGGUGCUAACGUCCGUCGUGAAGAGGGAAACAACCCAGACCGCCAGCUAAGGUCCCAAAGUCAUGGUUAAGUGGGAAACGAUGUGGGAAGGCCCAGACAGCCAGGAUGUUGGCUUAGAAGCAGCCAUCAUUUAAAGAAAGCGUAAUAGCUCACUGGUCGAGUCGGCCUGCGCGGAAGAUGUAACGGGGCUAAACCAUGCACCGAAGCUGCGGCAGCGACGCUUAUGCGUUGUUGGGUAGGGGAGCGUUCUGUAAGCCUGCGAAGGUGUGCUGUGAGGCAUGCUGGAGGUAUCAGAAGUGCGAAUGCUGACAUAAGUAACGAUAAAGCGGGUGAAAAGCCCGCUCGCCGGAAGACCAAGGGUUCCUGUCCAACGUUAAUCGGGGCAGGGUGAGUCGACCCCUAAGGCGAGGCCGAAAGGCGUAGUCGAUGGGAAACAGGUUAAUAUUCCUGUACUUGGUGUUACUGCGAAGGGGGGACGGAGAAGGCUAUGUUGGCCGGGCGACGGUUGUCCCGGUUUAAGCGUGUAGGCUGGUUUUCCAGGCAAAUCCGGAAAAUCAAGGCUGAGGCGUGAUGACGAGGCACUACGGUGCUGAAGCAACAAAUGCCCUGCUUCCAGGAAAAGCCUCUAAGCAUCAGGUAACAUCAAAUCGUACCCCAAACCGACACAGGUGGUCAGGUAGAGAAUACCAAGGCGCUUGAGAGAACUCGGGUGAAGGAACUAGGCAAAAUGGUGCCGUAACUUCGGGAGAAGGCACGCUGAUAUGUAGGUGAAGUCCCUCGCGGAUGGAGCUGAAAUCAGUCGAAGAUACCAGCUGGCUGCAACUGUUUAUUAAAAACACAGCACUGUGCAAACACGAAAGUGGACGUAUACGGUGUGACGCCUGCCCGGUGCCGGAAGGUUAAUUGAUGGGGUCAGCGCAAGCGAAGCUCUUGAUCGAAGCCCCGGUAAACGGCGGCCGUAACUAUAACGGUCCUAAGGUAGCGAAAUUCCUUGUCGGGUAAGUUCCGACCUGCACGAAUGGCGUAAUGAUGGCCAGGCUGUCUCCACCCGAGACUCAGUGAAAUUGAACUCGCUGUGAAGAUGCAGUGUACCCGCGGCAAGACGGAAAGACCCCGUGAACCUUUACUAUAGCUUGACACUGAACAUUGAGCCUUGAUGUGUAGGAUAGGUGGGAGGCUUGGAAGUGUGGACGCCAGUCUGCAUGGAGCCGACCUUGAAAUACCACCCUUUAAUGUUUGAUGUUCUAACGUUGACCCGUAAUCCGGGUUGCGGACAGUGUCUGGUGGGUAGUUUGACUGGGGCGGUCUCCUCCUAAAGAGUAACGGAGGAGCACGAAGGUUGGCUAAUCCUGGUCGGACAUCAGGAGGUUAGUGCAAUGGCAUAAGCCAGCUUGACUGCGAGCGUGACGGCGCGAGCAGGUGCGAAAGCAGGUCAUAGUGAUCCGGUGGUUCUGAAUGGAAGGGCCAUCGCUCAACGGAUAAAAGGUACUCCGGGGAUAACAGGCUGAUACCGCCCAAGAGUUCAUAUCGACGGCGGUGUUUGGCACCUCGAUGUCGGCUCAUCACAUCCUGGGGCUGAAGUAGGUCCCAAGGGUAUGGCUGUUCGCCAUUUAAAGUGGUACGCGAGCUGGGUUUAGAACGUCGUGAGACAGUUCGGUCCCUAUCUGCCGUGGGCGCUGGAGAACUGAGGGG